UAGGUAACGUCAUCUUACUGAGGUAUUCGCUCAGCAAAACCUCUUCCCUACUGAAAGGGCUUUACAACCCGCAGGCCUUCUUCACCCACGCGGCAUUGCUGGAUCAGGCUUGCGCCCAUUGUCCAAUAUUCCC
rnacentral:rRNA from 1 species